AUUGAACGCUGGCGGCAGGCCUAACACAUGCAAGUCGAGCGGAUGAAGGGAGCUUGCUCCUGGAUUCAGCGGCGGACGGGUGAGUAAUGCCUAUGAAUCUGCCUGGUAGUGGGGGAUAACGUCCGGAAACGGGCGCUAAUACCGCAUACGUCCUGAGGGAGAAAGUGGGGGAUCUUCGGACCUCACGCUAUCAGAUGGGCCUAGGUCGGAUUAGCUAGUUGGUGGGGUAAAGGCCUACCAAGGCGACGAUCCGUAACUGGUCUGAGAGGAUGAUCAGUCACACUGGAACUGAGACACGGUACAGACUCCUAGGGGAGGAAGCGGUGGGGAAUAUUGGAGACUGGGCGAAGGCCUGAUCAAGCCAUGCCGGGUGUGUGAAGAAGGUCUUCGGAUUGUAAAGCACUUUAAGUUGGGAGGAAGGGCAGUAAGUUAAUCCCUUGCUGUUUUGACGUUACCAACAGAAUAAGCACCGGCUAACUUCGUG
rnacentral:rRNA from 1 species